UACGUAGGGUGCGAGCGUUAAUCGGAAUUACUGGGCGUAAAGCGUGCGCAGGCGGUGCUGUAAGACCGAUGUGAAAUCCCCCGGGCUUAACCUGGGAACUGCAUUGGUGACUGCAGCGCUGGAGUAUGGCAGAGGGGGGUGGAAUUCCACGUGUAGCAGUGAAAUCGUAGAGAUGUGGAGGAACACCGAUGGCGAAGGCAGCCCCCUGGGCCAAUACUGA
rnacentral:rRNA from 1 species